AUGUUGUAUGAAAGGAGAGAAGGUUAGCACUCCCCUUGAUAAGGAUGGAAGAGGUCCUAGUGGUCUUUACAUCACAUAUACGGUUAAGGCAUUGCCACCUAUUCUGUGGCAUCUAACCAUGUUUUUUA
ensembl:snRNA